rnacentral:rRNA from 1 species
CUACGGGAGGCAGCAGUCGGGAAACUUCUACAAUGCACGCAAGUGUGAUAGAGCAAGCCAGAGUGCUUUUCCGUAUUGGACAAGCUUUUGCCAGAUGUAAAAAGUCUGGCGAAUAAGGACUGGGCAAGACUGGUGCCAGCCGCCGCGGUAAUACCAGCAGUCCAAGUGGCAGCCACUUUUAUUGGGUCUAAAACAUCCGUAGCUUGCUAGGCAAGUCUCUUGUGAAAUCUGACAUCUCAAGUGUCGGGCGUGCAAGAGAUACUACCUAGCUAGGGACCGGGAGACGUAAGGAGUACGCAUAGGGUAGCGGUAAAAUGCGUUGAUCCAAUGUGGACUAACGAUAGCGAAGGCACCUUACGAGAACGGAUCUGACAGUGAGGGAUGAAGGCUAGGGGCGCAAAACGGAUUAGAUACCCGUGUAGUC